rnacentral:rRNA from 1 species
GACGAACGCUGGCGGCGUGCUUAACACAUGCAAGUCGAACGGAAAGGCCCUGCUUUUGUGGGGUGCUCGAGUGGCGAACGGGUGAGUAACACGUGAGUAACCUGCCCUUGACUUUGGGAUAACUUCAGGAAACUGGGGCUAAUACCGGAUAGGAGCUCCUGCUGCAUGGUGGGGGUUGGAAAGUUUCGGCGGUUGGGGAUGGACUCGCGGCUUAUCAGCUUGUUGGUGGGGUAGUGGCUUACCAAGGCUUUGACGGGUAGCCGGCCGGAGAGGGUGACCGGCCACAUUGGGACUGAGAUACGGCCCAGACUCCUAAGGGAGGCAGCAGUGGGGAAUAUUGCACAAUGGGCGGAAGCCUGAUGCAGCAACGCCGCGUGCGGGAUGACGGCCUUCGGGUUGUAAACCGCUUUCGCCUGUGACGAAGCGUGAGUGACGGUAAUGGGUAAAGAAGCACCGGCUAACUACGUG